CACAGCCCCCUUGGGUUGUAAAGACCCUCCCCAGCUGACAUCAGUCCAACCUUUCACACCUAGUUGGUAGCCAGCACAGCACAUGACAUCUGUGCUUUGUUGAUUAUGGUUAAAUAGCAAAUGGUGACCAUUCACCCAUGGUUCCUCCAUCAGUAGAUACAGAAUUUCUCUCCAGGGGCCGGGGAUUUAGCUCAGUGGUUCCACCACCUGCCUCGCAAGCACAAGGACCCGAGUUCGAUCUCCGGUACCAAAAAAACAAAACAAAACACAGAAUUUCUCUCCAAAGCCAUUUUGCCAGGUCCCUAGGUGGGAGGCAAGUCAGGUAUAUACCUGGACAGAGCCUGAUGCUGCAGAUGGCCUUUUGAUCUGCGCCAAGGUAGUCUACAGUCUCGAGAGAGACAAUGUGAUCUGGCAUAUAGAUCACCCAGCAAGAAGGCAAAUUUCAAGCCCUGCAGUGUUUCAUUUCUUUAGUCUCCAGAUGGCAAAAAGCAGAUGACCCAACUAAAGAGAAGAGGCUCCACAGCAAGUUGCUGACCCAGCUUACAGCACAGCUGUCCUGUUUCAUAGAACAGGAAGAAGUAACCUUUUGGGCUUCUCUGUGCCAUUGACCUCGAUGCUUGAAAACAAGGAAGACUUUUCUAUCCUGGGAAAGUAUGGUAACUGCUCCAUGGCAGCUUCCAGGGAAAGGUGCCAAGUCACAUCCCGUGAGGGGACAGGGGGUGAAACCCUGCCCAGAAGUUUAAGAGUAACACAGGGAGUGGGCUAUAGUCCUGCCUCGGCCUUGUGGUCUUGGAUAUAUCCUUUAUCUUGCUGGGACCUCUCUUUCUACCACCUGCCAAACAAGGGGGCUCUGAAGACCAUCCUGCUUCAGUGAUCUUGCCUUCCCUGGGGUACAUGCUGCAGCCAUAGGACAGAAGCCAGGGUCCCUGUCCUUGUGGGUCUCUACCAGGCCUAGGGUUCCCCCAGGCCUGCUGACCCAAGAGGGCUCAGCUCAACCCCUCAGCUAAGAAUCUACUUUCUUUCCCUCUUAAGAAUUGACUUCCCUUUGGUCUAAUAAAAAGCAGAAUUGAUCAUACUCAGAAAUCAGCUGCUGGGGGGAGUCAGCGUGAAACACUACAAUGUAACCCUUCAGUGAGCCCUCCACUCCUACACACACUCAUGUACACACAGGCAGGCACACACACACACACACACACACACACACGCCUGAACCAAAAUGUAAACAUUUUCCUUUCUGUGUAUCAACCCUUUUUCCCUUUCCUGUUGCCGAUGUGUUGGGAGAGGAUUUGAUCCCACAAUGCAAAAGCACUGCUCCCAC
ensembl:lncRNA